rnacentral:rRNA from 1 species
UCCGUAGGCGGUGUGGCAAGUCGGAAGUGAAAUCUCUGGGCUUAACUCAGAGGCUGCUCCCGAAACUGCCAUGCUAGAGUGUGAGAGAGGCGAGUGGAAUUGCGGGUGUAGCGGUGAAAUGCGUAGAUAUCCGCAGGAACAUCCGAGGCGAAAGCGGCUCGCUGGAUCACAACUGACGCUGAGGGACGAAAGCUAGGGGAGCAAACAGGAUUAGAUACCCUGGUAGUCCUAGCCCUAAACCAUCAGGACUUGGGGUUUGCCCUGUACGGGGCAAGUCCCGUAGCUAACGCGUUAAGUCCUGCGCCUGGGGAGUACGGUCGCAAGGCUGAA